rnacentral:lncRNA from 1 species
AGGAGUCCGUUCUGGAAUCGUAGAUCUCCGUGGAGCACUCGUAGUCACCCCCGCAUUCGGACGUCCCGCCUGCGACGAUGAUCCUAUACCCGCUGCUGUCGUCGACUUGAAACACCCCGACGAGUGAGUUGAAUCGCUUGUAAGUCAUCUGAGGCAGCUCCUUCCAGGUCUGCAUGAUCGGGUUGCACACCGCCAGCAUCCCCAAGUUGCUGAGACCGGCUCGCAUGAAGAUGAGGCCUCCGAUGGCAGCCAGCGGGAACCUCAUAUAAGGUGGCAGGAAUGCGAGCGAGACAUUGAGCCACUUGUUGAGCGUGGGGCUGAAGGCACACGACUUGUCCCGGCAGUUAUAGGAGCAGGCAAGGAGCCAGGGGGCCUCCCUCGCGGGUGUGCUGCGGUAGACUCUCUGGAAGUUGCUCGACUUGAUCCGGGAGUUCCAGGACUUGCAGACGAGGCCGGCCGCCACCAGGCUCUCAAUUGGCAUGAAGGCGAACACCUUGUCCAUGAUGUCCUCGGGGAGGCUAUGCCAGAGUGGGAACGAAGGCUCGUGCUGCUCCUGGCCGCCAUCCAUGAUUCUCGCUCGGGAGCUCAUUGGUGUGACGGACGCACGUAGGCUGGCUGACUUGGGGGCAGGAGCAAUAAUUACAAGCUGCAAACGAGAAGAUCCAGGAUCAAACCACAAAGUAAAGGUGGUGCCGUGGAGGUGCGGGAAGGGGGAAAGUGCAAACCUUGAUUGCUGGGUGGGCCGGCACGAGAAGAAAGGCCACACCUGAUGAUGCUGCGUCCACCCUCCAACACCAGCAGCAGCAAGAGCAACGAUUGGAAGAAGAAGAGGGGUAGUAACAGUAACUGUACCAGCUAGAGAUCCGUCAACAAAGUCAUCUCCAGCAGCAGAGGACUCUGUGGUGGAGCAAGCGAGAAAAGAGCAAGCAGCAGUCAAGGACUUAUAUCUGCUGGGAAGCGGGGGGAGGAGGAGCAGACUUGGAGAGACGAGGAGGCGGUGUGAAAGCGAGGUGCUUGAGCAAGAGGAGCAAGGCUGGUCGUCGUCAAUCAUGCAGCAGCAGGAGCAGGGGGUGGGAGUGGACGCUUUCGGAGACAA